UUGGAGAGUUUGAUCCUGGCUCAGGACGAACGCUGGCGGCGUGCUUAACACAUGCAAGUCGAACGAAGAGCGAUGGAAGCUUGCUUCUAUCAAUCUUAGUGGCGAACGGGUGAGUAACGCGUAAUCAACCUGCCCUUCAGAGGGGGACAACAGUUGGAAACGACUGCUAAUACCGCAUACGAUCUAAUCUCGGCAUCGAGGAUAGAUGAAAGGUGGCCUCUAUUUAUAAGCUAUCACUGAAGGAGGGGAUUGCGUCUGAUUAGCUAGUUGGAGGGGUAACGGCCCACCAAGGCGAUGAUCAGUAGCCG
rnacentral:rRNA from 1 species